UCCACCUGUUUCAAAGGAGAACACUUGACAAAAGACCUGAAAGGCAGGUGUAAAAGUGAAUCUUCUUUUGCAACCCAGAGCUCAGUGUUCACCAUUAGUUUUGAUACAUAUAAGAAGGAACACG
ensembl:snoRNA